GUCCACGCCGUAAACGUUGGGCGCUAGGUGUGGGGGCCAUUCCACGGUCUCUGUGCCGUAGCUAACGCAUUAAGCGCCCCGCCUGGGGAGUACGGCCGCAAGGCUAAAACUCAAAGGAAUUGACGGGGGCCCGCACAAGCGGCGGAGCAUGUGGAUUAAUUCGAUGCAACGCGAAGAACCUUACCUGGGUUUGACAUGCGCCAGACGCGUCCAGAGAUGGGCGUUCCCUUGUGGUUGGUGUGCAGGUGGUGCAUGGCUGUCGU
rnacentral:rRNA from 1 species